CCGCCAUGCUGGGCGGGCGGGGAAAGGGUAUCGCUAGCAGCAGAUGAAUAUUGAUUGUCUGGUAUGGAGAUUUGUCAGAAAGGACAAGGAAAAUGGCAUUUCAUGAACCAGAGAUGGUGACUUCUUACCCAAGAUAAUGCCGAAAGCUGCAGAUUUAGCAUACAUGUAGGACCAAAACCAUCACAAAGAGGCCCUUGAGGUUUUCUGAAACCUCUUUUUUUAUUAAAAAUGAAAUCUGCACGAAGAAGACACAAUUUUUUUUCAACCCUGAAGAAUAGAAGUGAUUUUUCUCUGCAAAAGAAACAAAAUGGUGACAAAGCUCCAACAAAACUAAGAAUAAAAUUUGAGAUACCUGCUCCACACCCAAACAGAUGCUUGACCCAGGAUCACUCAGAGGAAAUGGACACUUGCCAAUGGUGAUGCUUGCUUUGGGUUUGGACAAAUAUCACCAUGAGAGUCUCUUCACGUAGGUAGAGUGGCCCAAACCUUGUUUUCCCAGCUCCUGUAGCAGACCUUGGCCAGGGUGGAAGUUCACCUGAGCAAGGAGGUCCUUUUUAAUUUUUAAAAUGUGCGCUUUAUUUUUAAAUGCAUGAUGAGAGAACUUAUUUAUUAAAAAGUGAAUUACGAGCUGUAUGGUUGGCACCUUAAUCACUCAAAUCUAAUAAUUCUCUUUUGACCUUUUCUAAAAUAAUUCCCAUGAAAUAAUUUCAAAAAGAUACUUUAGGCAGUGCAUUUCUGGGAAUCAUUUCACUUCUCAGGUGACUGAAGUCACUUAUUCUUCAUCCUCAUGCUUCAUGACACAUCUGAGGCAUGAAAUUAUUCCCUUCCAGUGCGAUGCCUUCUCCUACUCUUAUUGCUUAAAUGAUUCUUAAGGAUUAGUGUGUUAAAAGCAUUGUGAGAAAUUCAGGGCAGGGUGGGGGAAGGAGAAGAUAAUAUUUUACAUUAGAGUUAUCAACCUGAUCCACAUUUUGGUGAUUUUUAUUCCAAUCAGAAGAGUCUGGAUCUAAUACACAUCCAUGGUAUGGACUUGCAAAAAUAUGGAGGACACAGUGACUUCCUUGAAGUGUGGUGUGAAUAAAACCAGUCACAUAUAGCAGAAACUAUCAGAAUUAAGGUGGUUUUGCAUUUGCAAGAAUAAAUAUAACUGCAUUCUCUGUCCACUGAUGGGUAUUGCCAGCUGUCUCCUGUAUGCAGGUACCAUUCUUUGUUCCCAGGAUUUUAUGCAUUCAGCUGUGAUUUCUCUCUAAAUCCUUUUACCAUAUCUUGAUUGGUUUGCAGACAGAAUACAAAUUCUCUUGAGACAAAUGUACCAUUACCAUUUUAAAUUGUAAUCUUUUUCAGAAAAUGUUGUUGGGGUUUUGUCAUUAACAUUUGAGAACAAAAGACUGGAGUUUCAACAUUUGUUGCCACCCAUGGGGCUUUUCCUCAUAUAAGGUUCUAGUUGCAAUAUGAGGAAACAACAUUAGUUUCAUGUCCUUUGGAAAACAAUGUGCAGACAAUCACAGAAACUUACCUUCUGUGCAUUUGUUUUACUGUGAGCAAGGACUGUAAAACACUAGCACGCAUUUUAGCUGGAGGACUACAGAAGUAAUCUCUGAAGCCAAUGUUGGGGAAAUAUAGUGCAUUUACUAAGUCAUUACUUAGUAAAGUCCUUAUUUACAAAGCCCUGGUGAGCACUAAUCUCAAGCUUAAAAUUAUAAACGUAGCUGCAUGCUCUGAUGAAUCAAAAUUUUAGCUGUUUCCAUUUCUGCCUCAGUGACAAACUUCAUGUAUUGUAAGAAAAUGCUAGAGCUACUAAUAAAAGAUCUGUUUGACAUCCAAGGCUGCAUCACUAAGCUGACUGUCCCCCAGUUUGAAAUGCUAUAUAAAUGCAAUCAAAUAUUUAUCAGUAAAACCUUACAGCAUCAAAUGCAGGAAAAAUUAUUUUGUUCUCUCAUACAAUCCAUCAUUCAUACAUAAAUAGCAAAUGUCAUGUGAUAGAUAAUAUACAGUAUAUAAUGUAUCUAGGAUGUGUUAAAAAAACUUUUAUUUCCUAAAAAUAUCUUAUUCCUAUUUAUUUUCUUCUUCUUCCUGCUGUACCCACUCUGAAAACACUUUGAUAUACUAGUAAAGUGGCAAAAAGCAGUGAGAAAACAUGAUUGCUUUUCUGUUUCACUAAGUAAAGGCCUUUGUUAAAACUA